rnacentral:rRNA from 1 species
GUGGCAAGCGUUGUCCGGAAUUAUUGGGCGUAAAGCGCUCGCAGGCGGUCCUUUAAGUCUGAUGUGAAAUCUCGCGGCUCAACCGCGAACGGUCAUUGGAAACUGGAGGACUUGAGUACAGAAGAGGAGAGUGGAAUUCCACGUGUAGCGGUGAAAUGCGUAGAGAUGUGGAGGAACACCAGUGGCGAAGGCGACUCUCUGGUCUGUAACUGACGCUGAGGAGCGAAAGCGUGGGGAGCGAACAGGAUUAGAUACCCUGGUAGUCCACGCCGUAAACGAUGAGUGCUAGGUGUUAGGGGGUUUCCGCCCCUUAGUGCUGAAGUUAACGCAUUAAGCACUCCGCCUGGGGAGUACGGCCGCAAGGCUGAAACUCAAAAGAAUUGACGG